rnacentral:tRNA from 1 species
GCCUUCGUAGUGUAGUGGUCAGCCCUCUCGGCGCGUAUUUCGAGAGGCCCGUGGUUCGAAUCCUGGCGAGGGCA